rnacentral:rRNA from 1 species
GAUGAACGCUGACAGAAUGCUUAACACAUGCAAGUCUACUUGAAUUUGGGUUUUUUUACUUCGAUUUGGGUGGCGGACGGGUGAGUAACGCGUAAAGAACUUGCCUCACAGUUAGGGACAACAUUUGGAAACGAAUGCUAAUACCUGAUAUUAUGAAUAUAUGGCAUCAUAUAAUUAUGAAAGCUAUAAGCGCUGUGAGAGAGCUUUGCGUCCCAUUAGCUAGUUGGAGAGGUAACGGCUCACCAAGGCGAUGAUGGGUAGCCGGCCUGAGAGGGUGAACGGCCACAAGGGGACUGAGACACGGCCCUUACUCCUACGGGAGGCAGCAGUGGGGAAUAUUGGACAAUGGACCAAGAGUCUGAUCCAGCAAUUCUGUGUGCACGAUGACGUUUUUCGGAAUGUAAAGUGCUUUCAGUUGGGAAGAAAAAAAUGACGGUACCAACAGAAGAAGUGACGGCUAAAUACG